AACCUAGCACACCUGCGGUGUGUACCUGCGGAGGGAUCAUUACACAAUACAAUAUGAAGGCUGUCCGCAGCUGGAGUAUUUUAUUACCCUUGUCUUUUGCGCACUUGUUGUUUCCUGGGCGGGUUCGCUCGCCACCAGGACCACCAAAUAAACCUUUUUUAUGCAGUUGCAAUCAGCGUCAGUACAAACAAUGUAAAUCAUUUACAACUUUUAACAAUGGAUCUCAGAUCGGAAGAGCAC
rnacentral:misc_RNA from 1 species